UCAGGGUCUGCAUCCUACGUCGGCCGGAUUCGUCGGCCGGUUACGUCACAGCGCCGCGACUAGGCCUGUCCCAAUUCGAAGACUCUUUCAAAUGCGGUCGACGAAUGCGGCCAUCUUUUCGCCUGAAUGAAGGAUGGGUCCGGUGUAUCCUUCAACAGGUAGCAUUUCCCAAGAUGCCUUGCGGGCCGGCCAGCAGAAAAACUAAAAACAAUGGCGGACAGUGAAGCGGGAGCUGUCGGAGAGGAUUGUGCAUAUAAAUGAACAAAAGAGAAAACCAGGGAAUUUAUUAAGCUUAGGGCGGAGAUGGACCACAUGAUCACUGGAGCAAAGUAUUCGGCGGCUGUGGCAUGGAGACUAUUCUGGAGAAAAUGGGCAUCCAGGGGAAGGUGACAGCGAUGACCAGCUUCUGGAUCUGAUCAGGGAGGACAUGAGGCUGCAGAGGGAGGCAGAGCAGCAGAGGGCCCAGGAGAGAAGGAAGAACUUUGACAGCUCCCUUUUCUGCAGGUCUAGAAGCAGACCCCUGGUCAUCAUUGGCUGGGUCUCAAUUUUUGCUAGAAAAAAUGGUUAAUAAAGAUUAAACAUGUACAUAUAAAAGAAAUAUCUAAAUAAAAUCAGUUCUGCAUUAAACUCUUGAAUUUUAUUUUUGUUUACAAAUGAGAAUUGUUCAAUAUUACAGGGUAUCCGCUGGGUCUUAAAGUCUUAAAAGGUGAUAAAUCGGUUUUGGUCAAAUUAAGACCCUUAGAAAGUAUUAAAAACUAUUAUCACAUCUUUGCUCAGGCUCAGCUUGUCUAAAGUAUUUUCUCUGAAUUAGCUCUCCAACAGUCAAGGAAAUGAUUAACCCCCAGAGACCCACGGUUGUAACAUUACAACAUCAGAUUUAAGUCUACAAGAAUAAACCUUCCCCAUUUUUUUCUUUUUAAAACUACAUUUACAUUGCUAAUAGGUCCUAUUGUUCAGUUCUGCAACACUAUUGACUGUUAAAAUGUGUAAAUAGGCCCGUUUAUCUGGCCUAGAACAACAUGUGAAAGGUUAAAAAAGAUUUUGCAGUUGUUUUCUAAAUUUGGGUCUCUGGGGGUUAAAAAGCUAAAUAAAACGUCGAGCUCCAUCGUUUAAAGUUCCUUCUCCCUUCUGCCCAGCGGUUCCACGGUUGCUAGGCGACGGAACGUUCGCGGAGGGAGUUCAUGAAGGCUAGGCCUGUCCAAAUUC